rnacentral:tRNA from 1 species
GGCCCUGUGGUGAACUUUCACGUUGAAUUGCAAAUUCAGAGAAGCAGCUUCAAUUCUGCCGGGGCUU